rnacentral:rRNA from 1 species
GGAAUAUUGGUCAAUGGUCGAGAGACUGAACCAGCCAAGUAGCGUGCAGGAUGACGGCCCUAUGGGUUGUAAACUGCUUUUAUGCGGGGAUAAAGUGCGGCACGUGUGCCGUUUUGUAGGUACCGCAUGAAUAAGGACCGGCUAAUUCCGUGCCAGCAGCCGCGGUAAUACGGAAGGUCCGGGCGUUAUCCGGAUUUAUUGGGUUUAAAGGGAGCGCAGGCCGAAGAUUAAGCGUGACGUGAAAUGUCCCGGCUCAACCGGGGAGUUGCGUCGCGAACUGGUUUUCUUGAGUGAGUUCGAUGUAGGCGGAAUUCGUGGUGUAGCGGUGAAAUGCUUAGAUAUCACGAAGAACCCCGAUUGCGAAGGCAGCCUACAAGGCCUUUACUGACGCUAAAGCUCGAAAGUGCGGGUAUCGAACA